rnacentral:rRNA from 1 species
UACGUAGGGGGCUAGCGUUGUCCGGAAUUAUUGGGCGUAAAGGGCUCGUAGGCGGUCUGUUGCGUCGGGAGUGAAAACUCAGGGCUUAACCCUGGGCUGGCUUCCGAUACGGGCAGACUAGAGGUAUGCAGGGGAGAACGGAAUUCCUGGUGUAGCGGUGAAAUGCGCAGAUAUCAGGAGGAACACCGGUGGCGAAGGCGGUUCUCUGGGCAUUACCCUGACGCUGAGGAGCGAAAGUGUGGGGGAGCGAACAGG